UUGAGGAUGCUUUCCUCCUGCUAUGGGCCUGGAUUACCAAAGACUUGGAGACACGGGUGUCACCUUUGAGCAUCUCAGAUCUGCAAGAUUCCCAGGGCCCAAAUUUCCCCUUCUUCUGAGAUCACCGGUCAUAAGGGAUCAGGGCCCUCCCUGAUGGCCCAGCUUAACUUCUGUAAAGACGUUCUCUCCAGUCCCGAUCAUGUCCUCAGGCACUGGGGAUGAGGACUCCAGCAUAUGAAUUUUGGGAGGACGAAAUCCAACCCUGGACACUGGAGCCCAGAGGAUGCGUGGGGAGGCAGCAUCCAUGGACCACCACAGAGGACUUGGACCAUGGAACCUCGGAAGCCAGGGAACAGUCACUGACUCUGCUCGGGAGGACCUGGAGGCCUUCACAGGAGGCUGUGUGUAGAUGCACAUUUUUUUCAUCCAUGGUCAUGGCUGCAUAAACCAGAGGAGAAGCUGCGGAAGCCAAGGCCCGGAGAAGGUACACAGCUAGCCACCAUCACACAGCAGAGUUUGGCACCCAAAUGGGGUUGAAAGCCCCAGCCUGGACUUGCCAAGGCUGCCAGCUCUUGCAUCCUGAGAUUUGGGCUCUUUGAGUCUGCAGCAGAGGCUGGACAGGAAGGAGGGGAGGGAAAAGGG